AACGCGGGUGUCCAAAGGGGAGCUCGGCGAGAAGGGAAAUCUCGCGUCGAACGAAAGGGUAAAAGCUCCCUUGAUUCCGAUCUUCAGUACUGAUACGAACCUCGAAAGAGUGGCCUAGCGAUCCUUUGGUCGUUCGCGACCUGAAGCCAGAGGUGUCAGAAAAGUUACCAAAGGGAUAACUGGCUUGUGGCGGCCAAGCGUUCUUAGCGACGUCGCUUUUUGAUCCUUCGAUGUCGGCUCUUCCUAUCAUUGUGAAGCAGAAUUCACCAAGUGUUGGAUUGUUCACCCUUCGAAAGGGAACGUGAGCUGGGUUUAGACCGUCGUGAGACAGGUUAGUUUUACCCUCCCCGAUGAAAGGGAGGCGGCCGUAGCAGUAAUUGGACUCAGUACGAGAGGAACGGUCGAUUGGGACCUCUGGUAUCUUCGUUCGCCCGAACGGGCGCCGACGAGAGGCUACGUCCGCGGGAUUACGGCUGAACGCCUCUAAGCCGGAAUCCGUGCUGGACGCGGGCGCCGAACCGCCGAACGGGCGCGCCGCGGUAGGUGCUAGCAUCCGACGCGC
rnacentral:rRNA from 1 species